GACGAACGCUGGCGGCGUGCCUAAUACAUGCAAGUAGAACGCUGAGGACUGGUGCUUGCACCGGUUCAAGGAGUUGCGAACGGGUGAGUAACGCGUAGGUAACCUACCUCAUAGCGGGGGAUAACUACUGGAAACGGUAGCUAAUACCGCAUAACGUCGCAAGACCAAAGAGGGGGACCUUCGGGCCUCUUGCCAUCGGAUGUGCCCAGAUGGGAUUAGCUUGUUGGUGGGUAACGGCUCACCAAGGCGACGAUCCCUAGCUGGUCUGAGAGGAUGACCAGCCACACUGGAACUGAGACACGGUCCAG
rnacentral:rRNA from 1 species